rnacentral:rRNA from 1 species
GAUCCUGGCUCAGGAUGAACGCUAGCUACAGGCUUAACACAUGCAAGUCGAGGGGGCAGCAUGAACUUAGCUUGCUAAGUUUGAUGGCGACCGGCGCACGGGUGAGUAACACGUAUCCAACCUGCCGAUGACUCGGGGAUAGCCUUUCGAAAGAAAGAUUAAUACCCGAUGGCAUAGUUCUUCCGCAUGGUAGAACUAUUAAAGAACUUCGGUCAUCGAUGGGGAUGCGUUCCAUUAGGUUGUUGGG